UUUAUGCUGCUACACUGGCUGAAGGAGAAACAUGUUAAAGCUCAGGUGGGAAUUAGGACUAGCAAGGGAGAAGGAUGGAGAAGAAUGAUUAGAAAAUUCUUCUGUCUUCACUGGGAAAAAAAAAAAAGGGUGUUAUAUUGUGUCAGUAACCAUUACACAGAUGAGGUGAAUUACCUCUUGGAGAUAAUUAUUCCCUCAGCUGUAGAGAGGGAAUAGCUGCAAUUAAUUGCACCUUCACUGACACUGGUCUCUGAAAAUAAUGUCAGGUGUUUUGUCUGACUUAGUCACUUCUGCUGUUUCAACAGUGAGUUUCAUGGUCAAAGAAACAUGCCAAAUCUUCAUCUGAUUUGACACUUGGAACUUUUUUUUUUUCCCUCUUAUUUUUUUCCACCUUUGAAGAUUGUCAUUCUUUGACUCUUGGCUUACAGAGCAAAUUUGCUUUAAGAUUGCAUUCAUCUCCCCAGUAAGCCAGAUCACCUGCGUAGCUGAGCUGAAUAAUUUAUUAAAGAUCCUGCAUCUGGAUCUUUGGUGUAAGCGAACAUGAUGCAAGAGCGUGUGAACACUCCUUUGGCUACUGUAAUAAAGAGACAAAAAAGGCACCUUGGAUCUCCAACCUCAGUUUGCUGCUACUGCAGAGAAACAUGAAGGAGCCCCAAAGUAUCCAUGCCAUGGCACUCAUAUCCUGUUUUCAAAAUGCAUCUUUACUGGGAAAAACCAUGUGGAAAUGUACCAAAGAAUAAGCUCUGCUCAUCCUGACUGCAGUAUGUGCUGGCUGGUACCCAAGGGUACCUCCAGGCACCUGACUGCCCCCCUUGGGACUCCCUCCAUCUUGUCCACAUCCCAGGGUUUCAUGUCAGCCACUAGGGCUGUCAGCUCCUGCCCCAGCAAUGCCCCAGCAGACCCAGUCUCCAGCUCCCCAUAGCCCUGCCCUGCCCAGCCAUGGGGUCCCACUAAACUGGGCCCACUGUGGGCUCAUGUCCCAGCCUGUCUGUAUCCCCAGGCAGGCACCCAGGCCUGGGGCUGCCCUGCUCCUGUCUGGAGCUGAGAUGGGCUCUGGCAGCAGACGCUGCCCUGACAGACCCCUGGCAGUGGCUGGCUCAGGUGGGGUGCUGCCAGUGGACUUUAGGGAAGAACAAUGAAUCCUCUCACCUACGACAUAUGGUUUUGCUGUGUAGUUUGCUGCUGCUGCUGCUGCUGAAUGAGCAGUUGCUGCUGUUGUCGGCGCCGGGCUGUUCUCAGCUUUUCGAAGCGAGCCUCCAUCUCCUCCAGCACCUUGGGAGUGUAGCGCACCACCAGCUUCACGCUGUCCUUGGCCGCCUUCAGCAGCUCCACCGCCUUCUCGUGGUGCUCUCCUUCCA